GACGAACGCUGGCGGCGUGCCUAAUACAUGCAAGUCGAGCGCAGGAAAUCGACGGAACCCUUCGGGGGGAAGUCGACGGAAUGAGCGGCGGACGGGUGAGUAACACGUAAAGAACCUGCCCUCAGGUCUGGGAUAACCACGAGAAAUCGGGGCUAAUACCGGAUGGGUCAUCGGACCGCAUGGUCCGAGGAUGAAAGGCGCUUCGGCGUCGCCCGGGGAUGGCUUUACGGUGCAUUAGCUAGUUGGGGGGGUAAUGGCCCACCAAGGCGACGAUGCAUGGCCGACCUGAGAGGGUGAUCGGCCACACUGGGACUGAGACACGGCCCAGACUCCUACGGGAGGCAGCAGUAGGGAAUCUUCCACAAUGGACGAAAGUCUGAUGGAGCAACGCCGCGUGAACGAUGAAGGCCUUCGGGUCGUAAAGUUCUGUUGUAAGGGAAGAACAAGUGCCGCAGGCAAUGGCGGCACCUUGACGGUACCUUGCGAGAAAGCCACGGCUAACUACGUGCCAGCCGCCGCAGUAA
rnacentral:rRNA from 1 species